rnacentral:rRNA from 1 species
UGAAUACGAGACGCUAAGGCGUCGAAGUAGUGUAUGUCAUACUUCCAAGAAAAGCUUGCACUGUCAUAGAUAAAAAACGCCUGUACCAUAACCGACACAGGUGGGUAGGUAGAGUAUACUAAGGGGCGCGAGAUAACUCUCUCUAAGGAACUCGGCAAAAUAACUCCGUAACUUCGGGAGAAGGAGUGCCUUAUUCGUAAGGUUGCAAUAACAAGAUCCAAGCAACUGUUUAUCAAAAACACAGGUCUCCGCUAAGUCGUAAGACGAAGUAUGGGGGCUGACGCCUGCCCAGUGCCAGAAGGUUAAAGAAGUUGGUUAGCAAUUGCGAAGCUGAUAACUGAAGCCCUGGUGAACGGCGGCCGUAACAAUAACGGUCCUAAGGUAGCGAAAUUCCUUGUCGGGUAAGUUCCGACCCGCACGAAAGGCGUAAUGAUUUGGAUACUGUCUCGGAGAGGGGCUCGGUGAAAUAGACUUGUCUGUGAAGAUGCGGACUACCUGCACCAGGACAGAAAGACCCUAUGAAGCUUUACUGUAACUUGAAAUUGAAAUUGGACUUUAUUCGCGCAGUAUAGGUGGGAGGCGUUGAUUAUAAUCUUGUGGGAUUAUUGGAGCCAUCAGUGAGAUACCACUCUUGUAAUGUUAGAUUUCUAACUUUGAAUCAUUAUCUGGUCAAAGAACAGUUUCAGGCGGGCAGUUUGACUGGGGCGGUCGCCUCCUAAACGGUAACGGAGGCGUACAAAGGUUUCCUCUGAACGGUUAGAAAUCGUAUCUAGAGUGUAAAGGCAUAAGGAAGCUUGACUGUGAGACCUACAAGUCGAGCAGGGACGAAAGUCGGUCUUAGUGAUCUGACGGUACUGAGUGGAAAGGCCGUCACUCAACGGAUAAAAGUUACUCUAGGAUAACAGGCUGAUCUCCCCCAAGAGUUCACAUCGACGGGGAGGUUUGGCACCUCGAUGUCGGCUCAUCGCAUCCUGGGGCGGUAGUACGUCCCAAGGGUUGGGCUGUUCGCCCAUGAAAGCGGUACGCGAGCUGGGUUCAGAACGUCGUGAGACAGUUCGGUCCAUAUCCGGUGUAGGCGUUAGAAUAUUGAGAGGAGCCUUCUUUAGUACGAGAGGACCGAGAAGGACAUACCUCUGGUGUACCAGUUAUCGUGCCAACGGUAAACGCUGGGUAGCUAUGUAUGGAGUGGAUAACCGCUGAAAGCAUCUAAGUGGGAAGCCCACCUCAAGAUAAGUAUUCAC